rnacentral:rRNA from 1 species
AUUGAACGCUGGCGGCAGGCUUAACACAUGCAAGUCGAGCGAGCGGCGGACGGGUGAGUAAUGUCUGGGAAACUGCCUGAUGGAGUGGGAUAACUACUGGAAACGGUAGCUAAUACCGCAUACCAUCAGAUGUGCCCAGAUGGGAUUAGCUAGUAGGUGGGGUAAUGGCUCACCUAGUCGACGAUCCCUAGCUGGUCUGAGAGGAUGACCAGCAAAACGGGAAGUGGGACACGGUACAGACUCCUACGGGAGGCAGCAGUGGGGAAUAUUGAAAAAUGGGAGAAAGCCUGAUGCAGACAUGCCGCGUGAGUGAAGAAGGCCUUCGGGUUGUAAAGCACUUUCAGCGGGGAGGCGUUACUCGCAGAAGAAGCACCGGCUAACUCCGUGCCAGCAGCCGCGGUAAUUC